GGCUUUGCUCUCUGAGGCAGUCAUUCCCACCACACAAAGGCAGUUCUGUGCCUCCCAAAGGUGCUUGGGGCAGGAAUGAAGAGCGGAACAGCCCCCAUCAAUCCAAUAGGAUUGUCGUUUUACGCUGGCGUGGAGCCUCAGACAUCAAAAGGGCUGGAGAGUGAAGCCACGUGUGAGCCGUGAAGGUUUCAUCAGGCCUCUGUGAAAUGGGCAUGGUGAUCCUCCUCCAGCCUUCUCCACGGGUGGCCAUAAGAACCAAAGAAGAAAGUGCAGGCGAAGCUCCAAGUGGAAAGCAUAAUGAUUAGGAUGGGAUGGGCCUUCAGGGAAGCCUGCUGGAUGCCAUCCAGGACACACUUGCUCCAGGUGGUGACCCUGAGGCACAGAAAGCUGAGGGAAUUUGUUCGAAGUCACACAGCUGGGUCCUUGCAGAUGUAAUCGGGUGAAGAUGGGUUCAUAUUGGAUUGGAGUGAGUCAUAAUCCACUGUGACUGGUGUCUUUAAAAGAAAAGGACACACGGAAAUUCAGAGACAGAAAGACCCACAGGGAGAAUGCCAUGUGAUGACAGAGGCAGAGACUGGAGUGAUGGGUCUAUAGCCAACGGACACCAAAGACUCUCAUCCACCAGAAGCUGGAAGAGGCAAGAAGGGGAAAAGCAUUUGGGAGGAAGUGGAACCAAAGCAGAUCCUAUCCAAGGUGAAUGGCAAGCAGCUAUAUGAGGAUGGCCUUGCUCCCAGCCGGGUCUCCCAUCCUCAAGAAGGCCAGCCCAGGCUUCAUCACACAGCAGUGGAAGAGUUCUGAUUUAAGAGAAGAAGAGUGGAAGCUGCAGGUCCUGUUGAGACCUGGACUAGGAAGACACACAAUGCCACUUCUGCCACAUUCUAGUUGUCAUUUCUGGUUGUGAAAGCAAGUCCCAGGGCCAGUCAAGAUUCAAGGAAAGGGUAAAUAAACUCCAUUACUUGAUGGGUGCAGCCAAAAAAAGUCAU
rnacentral:lncRNA from 10 species